rnacentral:rRNA from 1 species
AAUAUUUCGCAAUGGAGGGAACUCUGACGCCGCGACGCCGCGUGAGCGAUGAAGGUUUUCGUAUCGUAAAGCCCUGUCCUUGGGGAAGAAGGCGGCCAUUUAUGGCCACUUGACGGUACCCCAGGAGGAAGACCCGGCUAACUACGUCCCAACAGCCGCGGUAAUACGUAGGGGGCAGGCGUUGGCCGGAAUUAUUGGGCGUAAAGGGUGCGUAGGCGGCCUUUUAAGUCAGAUGUGAAAGACCACGGCUUAACCGUGGGGUUGCAUUUGAAACUGGAGGGCUUGGGUAUCGGAGAGGGUAGUGGAAUUCCCAGUGUAGCGGUGGAAUGCGUAGAUAUUGGGAGGAACACCAGUGGCGAAGGCGACUACCUGGACGAAAACUGACGCUGAGGCACGAAAGCUAGGGGAGCAAACA